UACGGGGGGAGCAAGCGUUGUUCGGAUUUACUGGGCGUAAAGGGCGCGUAGGCGGCUUUGCAAGUCGGGUGUGAAAGCCCUCAGCUCAACUGAGGAAGUGCGCCCGAAACUGCAGAGCUUGAGUGCCGGAGAGGGUGGCGGAAUUCCCCAAGUAGAGGUGAAAUUCGUAGAUAUGGGGAGGAACACCGGUGGCGAAGGCGGCCACCUGGACGGUAACUGACGCUGAGACGCGAAAGCGUGGGGAGCAAACAGG
rnacentral:rRNA from 1 species